CCUGGCUUCACCCGCAAAGGUGAGACGAGGGCCUGAGUAGGAGCCACGGUUACAGUUGCCAUGGAAAUGCCUGUGUUACUCCCAGUUCCAUUGUGAUGUCAGAGAGAAGGGUGCAUCUCUCUUUGCCCUCUCACUAUAUUCCUCCCUCCCUCAAAAUACAUAUUUUUAUUUUGACCCCUUUUUCUCCCCAAUGUUGUCCUAUCCAAUUGGUAGUUACAGUCUUGUCUCAUCGCUGCAACUCCUGUACGGACUCGGGAAAGGCGAAGGUCAAGAGCCGCGUGCCCUCCGAAACACAACUCAACCAAGCCGCAAUGCUUCUUGACACAAUGCCCACUUAACCCAGAAGCGGAGGAAACACUAUACACCUGGCGACCGUGUCAGCGUGCACUACGCCCGGCCCGCCACAGGAGUUGUUAGUGAACGAAGGGACAAGGACAUCCCUGCUGGCCAGACCCUCCCCGAACCAGGACAACGCUGGGCCAAUUGUGCGCCGCCCUUUUGGCUCUCCCAGUCGCAGCUGGCUGUGACAAAGCCUGGACUUGAACCCAGAAUCUCUAGUAGGCACAGCUAGCACUGCGAUGCAGUGCCUUAGACCACUGCGCCACUCGGGAGGCCCCAUCCCUCUAAUUCUUUAAUUCAAUUAAUUGAAUCCCUCUGUCCUUCCUUCACGGUAUUCCUCUGUCCCUCUCCCCAUCCUUCCUUCCCUACAUCACUUCAGUCCCUCUCUCCAUCCCUCGUUCCCGCCUCCCACCCGGUACAAGCGGAGAGUCUUACAAGUUAAGCCGGUUAAGUGUUGUGUUUGCGUUUAGUUGUGGUGGAGGGGGCGGCGUGCGGAGGGAGGGAGGCUGAUAACAAGAGAUAGCGCUUCGUGCACUAACACAAUGGAGAGGGAUUAGAGUAUGUCUCUCCGCUCCAACCCGACUAGAAACACACAUACACGGAAAACACACAAACACACACAUACAGAAGUAAUACAAGCAGCUAUACACUUAUAACACACACACACACAUUAAACACUGCUUCAAGGUAGACACACACACCAUGAAGGGAAACAUACACACGGUUUCAGUAGCCCUGACAUACAGACACACACACACACACACACACACCGACUCACCAUGAGGCGUCUCCAGCAGAGAGAAGAGAACUGAAAGGUCAGUGUGCUUAUUGUUCCACGGAGGAUCAGUAUAAACAGACGGCAGAGGGUGUGAGGAAGACUCACAUCCAGUUGCAUAGUGCUUCUCAUCGGAAAUCUUGUUGGGAUUGUGUUAAGUGAUAGUGUUUAAGUGUGUGCAUGUGUGUCUGAGAGAAGAGAGAGAAUGAGGUAGACAGUAGUACAGAGUUCAAUAGUAUAGGUGUGUGUGUUCUGCUCUGUGUGCAUAGGACGAUAUCAUAACACUCAACUUGUCUGAUCUUAACAGCCUGUGAUAGAUCCUCUAAUGCCUCUACGCAGACGACACAUUCUGUAUACUUCUGGCCCUUCUUCGGACACUGUGUUAACUAACCUCCAGACGAGCUUCAAUGCCAUACAACUCUCCUUCCGUGGCCUCCAACUGCUCUUAAACGCAAGUAAAACUAAAUGCAUGCUCUUCAACCGAUCGCUGCCCGCACCUGCCCGCCCGUCCAAGGUUCUGGAAGGUUCUGACUCACAUUAAGCACCUCCAAUCCAAAAUCAAAUCCUUCCUAUUUUCGCAACAAAGCAUCAUUCACUCAUGCUGAAAAACAUACCCUCAUAAAAAUGACUAUGCCACCAAUCCUUGACUUCGGAGAUGUCAUUUAUAAAAUAACCUCCAACACUACUCAACAAAUUGGAUGUAGUGCCAUCCGUUUUGUCACCAAAGCCCCAUAUACUACCCACCACUGCAACCUCUAUGCUCUCGUUGGCUGGCCCUAGCCUGGCCCUGCCUUUCCUUCCAGUUCUCUGCUGCCGUUGACUGGAACGAAUUGCAAAAAUCACUGAAGCUGGAGACUCAUAUCUCCCUCACUAACUUCAAGCAUCAGCUGUCAGAGCAGCUCACAGAUCACUGCAUCUGUACAUAGCCCAUCUGUAAACAGCCCAUCCAACUACCUCAUCCCCAUAUUGUUAUUUAUUUAUUUUUGCUCCUUUGCACCCCAGUAUCUCUACUUGCACAUUCAUCUUCAGCACAUCUAUCACGCCAGUGUUUAAUUGCUAAAUUGUAAUUACUUCGCCACUACGGCCUAUUUAUUUCCUUACCUCCCUAAUCUUACAUCAUUUGCACACACUGUAUAUAGUUUUUUCCUAUUGUUUUAUUGACUAUAUGUUUGUUUACUCCAUGUUUAACUCUGUGUGGUUGUUUGUGUUGCAUUGCUUCGCUUUAUCUUGGCCAGGUCACAGUUGUAAAUGAGAACUUGUUCUCAACUGGCCUACCCGGUUAAAUAAAGGUGAAAUAAAAAUUUAAAAAAUGACAGAGCCAAUCAGAAAUAACAUCUUACUCUCUGUACUGAAGCACACAGCGUCUGCAGUGUGGAGCAAUGAGGGACUCCACAAGCAGAGGGGAAGAGAAGAGAAUAGGAGUAGAGAGGAAAGAGAGAAUCUAUAGCUGAGGCUUAAAUAACAUGACCCUGUGUUCUAAUCGUGCCCUCUGCUUGCUCUAACCGUGCUCUCUGCUUGUUCUAACCGUG
rnacentral:lncRNA from 13 species